rnacentral:rRNA from 1 species
AACGAACGCUGGCGGCAUGCCUAACACAUGCAAGUCGAACGAGACCUUCGGGUCUAGUGGCGCAAGGGUGCGUAACGCGUGGGAACCUGCCCUUAGGUUCGGAAUAAAUCCCCGAAAGGGGUGCUAAUAACGGAUAAUGUCUUCGGACCAAAGAUUUAUCGUCUUUGGAUGGGCCCGCGUUGGAUUAGCUAGUUGGUAGGGUAAAAGCCUACCAAGGCGACGAUCCAUAGCUGGUCUGAGAGGAUGAUCAGCCACACUGGGACUGAGACACGGCCCAGACUCCUACGGGAGGCAGCAGUGGGGAAUAUUGGACAAUGGGCGAAAGCCUGAUCCAGCAAUGCCGCGUGAGUGAUGAAGGCCUUAGGGUUGUAAAGCUCUUUUACCCGGGAUGAUAAUGACAGUACCGGGAGAAUAAGCGCCGGCUAACUCCGUG